CUAGUGUGUAGGCCUUUUGACAGCUUUAAAUGUGUUAUUGUUAGACUAGGUUCAGUAGUGCCCAGACUAUGUAUGCAUUCUGACCCCGGGCCCGUGUCAGCUAUAUAUAUAUCUGCCAAAAAUGGGCUCCCCGGUCACAUGAAAACGUGUUUAAGAUGAACCAUAGUCGUUCUACGCCUGAAGAAGGACAACAACAUGACCCCCGAACGAAAAUGAUUGGGGACCACUGAACUAGAUCUAUUAUUAUUUUUACUAUUUUUAAACUAUGGAGAUUGCCGUGGAGACCUCUCUCAAGAAAAAAGAUGUGUAAAGUUUGAGUAGAAAUCACAACACACGGGAGUUUGGUUUACGUAUGUGAUUACUUGUUAGGCCAACAUUGUUUAUGAAAUGUCCUUAUAUCUAAAUCUAGAUUGGUUCUAACAUUUCCUCAAAAGUUUAAGAAUGAAAUACAUCUAGACUAAUAAGAAUAUUUUCAAAUACUUUGAAGAUCUAGACGUCAUUGUGUGUGUAGUCAUAAAAAAAAUCUGGCAAUCAAGAGUUUUGAAUUGAAUUGGAUCUGACUAACUUACUUGGCAGUCGUAUGGAUCUCAUGAACAUUUGUUAUAAUGUUAUGUGACAUUAUGUCAAUUUUAUUGCAAAGUUAAUAUUUCAAGAAGUCCACUUGGAGCUCUUAGAUAAACCUAGCAUCUAGGCCUACUAUAAUCCAUCGCCGUAGAUCAAGUCAUAAUCAUUCAUAAAAAAUUUAAAGGGAGUAGUGUUUGACUGUACCUUGAAACCAUCAUCUACAUUGAAUAAGUUUAAAGUUUGACUAAACUUUGUUUCGAAUGCACCUGUGAUGUUUUAAAAGAUUUGUUUGUGUUACUGACUUCAUCAAAUGAAGAUUCAGAUCUGAAGGUCAAUUGUUGGUGUCAAGGUUCAGGUACUUUGGAUCAAUGUUUGACAGAAAAGCCUGAAGGAGUCGUGUGUUUAUCAUCACUCCUUAUGACUGAGGGCUUGAGAAGCUCAAAUCUUUUUCAAAAAGCCAUGAACCAACUUUUGCUGUUAUGUGCAAUGCACCUCACUAUACAAGUCAAAAGCAUGUAUCUUUCCAGACAUCCUGUUUUGUAAACAAGGCUCAAGCUAUAUUUAAAUUUCAAGUUCUCAGUUAUCAAAGGAUCAAUGCAUCAUUUGGAAGACAAAUCACAAAUUCAAGACACAAGCCAUUUCAAGAGAAAUUUAAACUUCCUAGUAUUAUCUUUUGUAUUUAAAAUGUACAAACAUCAAAUCUUUACUAGCACUAUGAGUAAUAUUAUUCUGAUCAAUGUUUAUGUCAACUGUCACAUUCUUAAAUAUAGACAUACUUCUUAUAUAGCCACUUAUCUAUUAACAUUAUUAUUUUAAUUUUAUUAUGUCAACUUAUUACACUAUAAAUUAGAAUGUCUUGUGUACUUAAUUUGUAGACUUCUUAUUUCUAAACUGUUUACUUUUAAAAUUAGUUUAGUCACAUCAGAGUCUGAAUUUCUUGUACACAUUUAAUGAAUACACAGGAUUUGUAUAAAAUAUUGGGCCGUUUUAAACUUCUCUGCGCAAUUCUCCAUGUAUGCAUUUUUCUAGACAUCCAAUUGUUCUAAUUGAUGUCCCCAUUUCUUUUAAUCUCAACUUUGGUCAUUAUACAAAUUAUAGCAUAUAAUUCUUUCUGCUUAAUCUCUUGUGAAAUCAGCCUCUACUUCCUUUGGCUGCAUUGCUUAUAAAAUCAUAGCCUUUAUGCUUCCCGCUGCUGAAUUGAUUGGGAAAUGAAAUUUGAUUUUGACACUAACUGGGCCAGGCAAAUUGUACAGAUUUUCUGAAGUUUGUCUGGUUAGUGCCUUAAAUAUAUUAAUAUAUAGUUGACUAAAAGUUCUUUUAAAUUAAGCCUUGAAUA
rnacentral:sRNA from 1 species